UUUCUUUUCUGGGGAGAAAGUAUCCAAAGGAAGUGGCAGGGUUAAAGAGCCCCAGCCCCUGGGUGCACCCCAGGGGCUGCCGAGUGUUCAUGCGGAAGGGCCGAUAGUUAACUACCGUCCCACGCACGGGAUAAAAGCCCCGGUCGGUCUUUCUUUGAUCAAGAGGGUGAAGAAACCGUGAUGCUCAUAUCGGGGGCCGGUCCUCCCUGUGUUCUGUAUUUAGCUACCCUGGUUCCAGGCAGCCAUCAACUCGCUCCUGGUCAAUACCCACCUGACCUCUAUGACACACCGCUAACCAGGGUCAUGACUGCGGGCCUGUAUUACUAUUUCACGAACCUUCGUUGCCCACUGUUCCCACCAGACCGAAAGCUCCUAAGACAGGCAUUCUGUUUUGCUGGCCAUUGGAUUCCUGGCAUAGAUAGAUACCUGGCACUUGCCUGGCCCAUGGACACCUCCAAUAGCAUAACCAGCUCGAUGUGAGAAACUAAAGUAUUUGUGAAAUUUCAAACACCCUUCAACUUGUUCACGAAGACUACAUUAACAUCCAUCGAAUAUGCACCAGUAAUCUGCCGUGAGCCAGGCAUUGGCAAAGCAGGGACGGGACAGGCAGAGAGAACUUCGCUCUCAAAGGGCACACGUUGCGGGUCAGCAACCUUUUCCCGAAAGGACCAGAUAACGGAUAUGUUAGUUUUUUUUCUGGCCGUGCAUUUCUGUCGUGACUGCUGGGUCCUGCCGCCGUGUCACCGAAGCAGCCGCAGAGAAUGUUUAUGCCAGUGAGCGGGGCUGUGUUCCAAUAAAACACUAUUUACAAAACCGAUCCCGGAGAAAGUGACAGGAUACAGCCAGAGCAUUGCACAACUUGAAGGGGCCCCUAUGGAGACACGUCGGAAGCCAGCAGAGGGGCCUGGGCUGAUGUGACACCACUGCCCUCAGAAAGUGUGCCCCCUGCUCCAGAAUCAUCAGAACUCUGUGGGGCAUGGGGACUAAGGACGAUUGCUCAUUCAUUCAUUCUGCAGGUAUUUAUUGGGUGCCUACAGCAUGCCUGUGCUGUAUGGGACAAAGAUGGGUCAGGUGCCAGCCUCAUGAAGUUACAUUCUCAUGAUGAGCCUCACUCAGAUUCACGUGGCUGGGCUUCCAUUAAAUUCAGAAAGGCUUCCCAGGGCGACUGGGUGGCUCAGUCAGUUGAGCAUCUGACUUGGUUUUGGCUCAGGUCAUGAUCUCCCGGUUGAGUGAGUUCGAGCCCCACGUCUGGCUCUGUGCUGGCCGUGUGGAGCCUGCUUGGGAUUCUCUCUCUCUCUCUCUCUCUCUCUCUCUCUCUCUCUCC